AAAAAAGAAAUAGAUUAUAUAUCAAUGAUGAAAUGUGCCUUUUAGGUAUUCCGCAACUUUUUACCAACAUCAUUCAACUCCUUUGAUGAUGACGGUUCUCGAGGCAAAUUAGGCAAUCCUUGUUGAAGUCAUCUCAAGAAGAUUAAGUAGCAGAAUUAAUAAAUCAUUCCAAUCAAUUGCCCCGAAGGACAAGCUAGCAAAUCAUCAAUGGAUUUGGCUAAAAAUAUCCUCAAGAAUUUCUUUAAGGCUAUAGUGGACGUCAUUAUUGUUUAUAAAAAGUUCCAGUCAAUUGGAUUGUUAGAGGCAUUCGAAGAGCUAAAAACUGAUUAGCUUAACGCCAAGAACAUGGACUUUCUAUUGUUAGAAAGUCGUUUGAACAUUGAGAAAGAUAAGCUAAAGGAGGCGGAGGAGAAGCUAAAGGAAGCGGAGGAGAAAUUGAAGAAUUAUGAGAAAUCUCAUAUUACCUAGUAAACACAUAUUGAUGUAAUUACGCUUUGAAUACGAGGGUGAAAAUUGUGUUACGCUUUUGGAAAACAAGA